AAUACGUUCCCGGACCUUGUACACACCGCCCGUCACAUCAUGAAAGCCGGUUGUACCCGAAGCCGCCCCUUAAAAGGUGUCGAAGGUAUGGCUGGUGAUUGGGAUG
rnacentral:rRNA from 1 species